AGCAGCCGCGGUAAUACGUAGGUCCCGAGCGUUGUCCGGAUUUAUUGGGCGUAAAGGGAGCGCAGGCGGUUUAGUAAGUCUGAAGUUAAAGGCAUUGGCUCAACCAAUGUAUGCUUUGGAAACUGUUAGACUUGAGUGCAGAAGGGGAGAAUGGAAUUCCAUGUGUAGCGGUGAAAUGCGUAGAUAUAUGGAGGAACACCGGUGGCGAAAGCGGCUCUCUGGUCUGUCACUGACGCUGAGGCUCGAAAGCGUGGGUAGCGAACAGGAUUAGAUACCCGGGUAGUCCCUGUCUCUUAUACAC
rnacentral:rRNA from 1 species